rnacentral:rRNA from 1 species
AGCAGCAGCCACGGUAAUACGAAGGGUGCAAGCGUUAAUCGGAUUUACUGGGCGUAAAGGGCGUGUAGGCGGCCUGGGGCGUCCCAUGUGAAAGGCCACGGCUCAACCGUGGAGGAGCGUGGGAUACGCUCAGGCUAGAGGGUGGGAGAGGGUGGUGGAAUUCCCGGAGUAGCGGUGAAAUGCGCAGAUACCGGGAGGAACGCCGAUGGCGAAGGCAGCCACCUGGUCCACUUCUGACGCUGAGGCGCGAAAGCGUGGGGAGCAAACCGGAUUAGAUACCCGCGUAGUCCCUGUCUCUUAUAC